rnacentral:rRNA from 1 species
AUUGAACGCUGGCGGCAUGCUUUACACAUGCAAGUCGAACGGUAACAGGGUGCUUGCACCGCUGACGAGUGGCGAACGGGUGAGUAAUGCGUCGGAACGUGCCGAGUAGUGGGGGAUAACGCAGCGAAAGUUGUGCUAAUACCGCAUACGUACUGAGGUAGAAAGUGGGGGACCUUCGGGCCUCACGCUAUUCGAGCGGCCGACGUCUGAUUAGCUAGUAGGUGAGGUAAAGGCUCACCUAGGCGACGAUCAGUAGCGGGUCUGAGAGGAUGGUCCGCCACACUGGGACGGAGACACGGCCCAGACUCCUACGGGAGGCAGCAGUGGGGAAUUUUGGACAAUGGGCGAAAGCCUGAUUCAGCCAUGCCGCGUGUCUGAAGAAGGCCUUCGGGUUGUAAAGGACUUUUGUCAGGGAGGAAAUCCCUAGUGCUAAUAACACUGGGGGAUGACAGUACCUGAAGAAUAAGCACCGGCUAACUACGUGCCAGCAGCCGCCGUAA